GAAAUGCGAUAACUAAUGUGAAUUGCAGAAUUCAGUGAAUCAUCGAAUCUUUGAACGCACAUUGCGCCCGCCAGCACUCUGGCGGGCAUGCCUGUUCGAGCGUCAUUUCAACCCUCAGAACCCCUUGCGGGAUCUGGCGUUGGGGAUUGGCAUCCAGCCAGCCCCGAAAUCUAGUGGCGGUCCCUCCGCGACCUCCCCUGUGCAGUAGCGAUACCUCGCAGCGGGACAGCGGUCUGACCACGCCGUAAAACCCCCAACUUCUCAAGGUUGACCUCGAAUCAGGUAGGAAUACCCGCUGAACUUAAGC
rnacentral:misc_RNA from 1 species